rnacentral:rRNA from 1 species
UCCGUAGCCGGCUUAUUAAGUCUCUUGGGAAAUCUGGCGGCUUAAUCGUCAGGCGGCCAAGAGAUACUGGUAGGCUUGGGACCGGGAGAGAUGGGAGGUACUCCAGGGGUAGGGGUGAAAUCUUGUAAUCCUUGGGGGACCACCGAUGGCGAAGGCAUCCCAUCAGAACGGGUCCGACGGUGAGGGACGAAAGCUGGGGGCACGAACCGGAUUAGAUACCCGGGUAGUCCCAGCUGUAAACGAUGCUCGCUAGGUGUCAGGUGCGGUGCGACCGCAUCUGGUGCCGCAGUGAAAACUUGAAGCGAGUCACCUGGGAAGUACGGUCGCAAGGCUGAA